UAGGGAAUAUUGCAAAAUGGGCGAAAGCCCGAUGCAGCAACGCCGCGUGGGCGAUGAAGGCCUUCGGGUCGUAAAGCCCUUUUUGAGGGGAUGAGGAAGGACAGUACCCUCAGAAUAAGCCUCGGCUAACUACGUGCCAGCAGCCGCGGUAAAACGUAGGAGGCGAGCGUUAUCCGGAUUUACUGGGCGUAAAGCGCGUGCAGGCGGAUUGGAGAGUUGGAUGUGAAAGCUCCCGGCUUAACUGGGAGAGGUCGUUCAAUACUUCCAGUCUUGAGUGCAGUAGAGNGAAGUGGAAUUCCGGGUGUAGUGGUGAAAUGCGUAGAUAUCCGGAGGAACACCAGUGGCGAAAGCGGCUUCCCGGACUGUAACUGGCGCUCAGACGCGAAAGCUAGGGUAGCAAACG
rnacentral:rRNA from 1 species